rnacentral:rRNA from 1 species
UACGUAGGGUGCGAGCGUUAAUCGGAAUUACUGGGCGUAAAGUGUGCGCAGGUGGCUUCGCGAAGUCGAGUGUGAAAUCCCCGGGCUUAGCCUGGGAAUUGCGCUCGAAACUACGUGGCUAGAGUGUGGCAGAGGGAGGUGGAAUUCCACGUGUAGCGGUGAAAUGCGUAGAGAUGUGGAGGAACACCAAUGGCGAAGGCAGCCUCCUGGGUCAACACUGACACUCAUGCACGAAAGCGUGGGAAGCAAACAGG